rnacentral:rRNA from 1 species
UACGUAGGGUGCAAGCGUUGUCCGGAAUUAUUGGGCGUAAAGAGCUCGUAGGCGGUUUGUCGCGUCUGCUGUGAAAUCUGGGGGCUCAACCCCCAGCCUGCAGUGGGUACGGGCAGACUAGAGUGCGGUAGGGGAGAUUGGAAUCCUGGUGUAGCGGUGGAAUGCGCAGAUAUCAGGAGGAACACCGAUGGCGAAGGCAGAUCUCUGGGCCGUAACUGACGCUGAGGAGCGAAAGCAUGGGGAGCGAACAGG